UGAAUGGAAACGAGGGAGUUGAGCCAAGU
rnacentral:piRNA from 1 species